UACAGAGGGGGCAAGCGUUAUUCGGAAUUAUUGGGCGUAAAGAGUGUGUAGGCGGUGCUCUAAGUCUGUUGUGAAAUCUCCCGGCUUAACUGGGAGGGUGCGGCGGAAACUGGAGUGCUCGAGGGUGGGAGAGGUAAGCGGAAUUCCUGGUGUAGCGGUGAAAUGCGUAGAUAUCAGGAGGAACACCUGUGGUGUAGACAGCUUACUGGACCACUUCUGACGCUGAGACACGAAAGCGUGGGUAGCAAACAGG
rnacentral:rRNA from 1 species